CAGUUUCGGCAGAAAGAUGGGACUGAAAACCAGCGGGCGAGCUUUUCUGCCUGACCAAAGAACUACUAAUCUCAUUGAACCCAUACGAUCUCUGCAACCCACCACUGGCGCUGCUCUUAGGCGGCGGCCUUGGAUCGCUGGAUGAGUUGACUUUGCAAGUUGACUCUGAGGUGAGCGAGGACGAGUCACCAGAGAAGUACUGAUGACUCACUAACGAAGGCGAAGAAGAACCCAAGGCAGAGAAUUCACGGUCAGA
rnacentral:misc_RNA from 1 species